rnacentral:rRNA from 1 species
GCCAGACUCCUACGGGAGGCAGCAGUGGGGAAUAUUGCACAAUGGGGGAAACCCUGAUGCAGCAACGCCGCGUGAGUGAAGAAGGCUUUCGGAUUGUAAAGCUCUGUUAGCAGGGAAGAGGAAGGACGGUACCUGCAGAGGAAGCCACGGCUAACUACGUGCCAGCAGCCGCGGUAAUACGUAGGUGGCAAGCGUUGUUCGGAAUAACUGGGCGUAAAGGAUGCGUAGGCGGUUAAACAAGUUAUAUGUUAAAUAUAUAGGCUUAACCUGUAGAAAGCAUAUAAAACUGUUUAACUAGAGUGCAGGAGAGGUAAGUGGAAUUCCUAGUGUAGCGGUGAAAUGCGUAGAGAUUAGGAAGAACACCAGUGGCGAAGGCGGCUUGCUGGGUCGAUACUGACAUUGAGGCACGAAAGCGUGGGGAGCAAACAGGAUUAGAUACCCCUGUA